rnacentral:sRNA from 1 species
CGGGAGUCCGGUGAACGGGCAGAAGCAGGGCCAUGCCCAAGCCACCCCCAAGAUCCCCCUGAACCUGCGCCUCCAUCACGACCCAUUCAGGUGCCUCCAGGAGCCCAGACACCAGCCCCCCACCAUGGGCAGCAAGGAGCGCUUCCACUGGCAGAGCCACAAUGUGAAGCAGAGCGGUGUGGACGACAUGGUGCUUCUUCCCCAGAUCACUGAAGACGCCAUCGCUGCCAACCUCCGGAAGCGCUUCAUGGACGACUACAUCUUCGUACCCUGGGCCAAGGCUGGGGGUGGGCAGGCAGGGAAGGAAUGAAUGGCUGGGCCAUGAACAGAGAGGAGGGUGAAGGAGCGGAGGGAGGAAUAGGCCGGGAGAGCACCAGGCUGUGAGACAGAGGACAGACGGAGUGACAGCAGGGCUCUGGUUGGGGGCAGCUGUGGCUGCCACUGCUCCCUCCGUCCUGGGGAAGCUCAGCUCCAGCGUGUUCCAUUUCCCCCAUUCCGGAUCCAACUCUGUUUUUUUUUGUUUUUUGUUUU